rnacentral:rRNA from 1 species
UACGGAGGGUGCAAGCGUUAUCCGGAUUUAUUGGGUUUAAAGGGUCCGUAGGCGGAUCAUUAAGUCAGUGGUGAAAGCCGGCAGCUCAACUGUCGAACUGCCAUUGAUACUGAUGAUCUUGAAUACGGUUGAAGUUGGCGGAAUAGGUCAUGUAGCGGUGAAAUGCUUAGAUAUGACCUAGAACACCGAUUGCGAAGGCAGCCAACUAAACCGUUAUUGACGCUGAGGGACGAAAGCGUGGGGAGCGAACAGG